CACGGGAGGCAGCAGUGGGRAAUAYUGCACAAUGGGCGCAARCCUGAUGCAGCGACGCCGCGUGAGGGAUGACGGCCUUCGGGUUGUAAACCUCUUUCAGUAGGGAAGAAGCGAAAGUGACGGUACCUGCAGAAGAAGCACCGGCUAACUACGUGCCAGCAGCCGCGGUAAUACGUAGGGUGCGAGCGUUAUCCGGAAUUAUUGGGCGUAAAGAGCUCGUAGGCGGUUUGUCGCGUCUGUCGUGAAAGUCCGGGGCUUAACCCCGGAUCUGCGGUGGGUACGGGCAGACUAGAGUGCAGUAGGGGAGACUGGAAUUCCUGGUGUAGCGGUGGAAUGCGCAGAUAUCAGGAGGAACACCGAUGGCGAAGGCAGGUCUCUGGGCUGUAACUGACGCUGAGGAGCGAAAGCAUGGGGAGCGAACAGGAUUAGAUACCCUGGUAGUCCAUGCCGUAAACGUUGGGCACUAGGUGUGGGGACCAUUCCACGGUUUCCGCGCCGCAGCUAACGCAUUAAGUGCCCCGCCUGGGGAGUACGGCCGCAAGGCUAAAACUCAAAGGAAUUGACGGGGGCCCGCACAAGCGGCGGAGCAUGCGGAUUAAUUCGAUGCAACGCGAAGAACCUUACCAAGGCUUGACAUGUUCUCGAUCGCCGUAGAGAUACGGUUUCCCCUUUGGGGCGGGUUCACAGGUGGUGCAUGGUUGUCGUCAGCUCGUGUCGUGAGAUGUUGGGUUAAGUCCCGCAACGAGCGCAACCCUCGUUCCAUGUUGCCAGCACGUAAUGGUGGGGACUCAUGGGAGACUGCCGGGGUCAACUCGGAGGAAGGUGAGGACGACGUCAAAUCAUCAUGCCCCUUAUGUCUUGGGCUUCACGCAUGCUACAAUGGCCGGUACAAUGGGUUGCGAUACUGUGAGGUGGAGCUAAUCCCAAAAAGCCGGUCUCAGUUCGGAUUGGGGUCUGCAACUCGACCCCAUGAAGUCGGAGUCGCUAGUAAUCGCAGAUCAGCAACGCUGCGGUGAAUACGUUCCCGGGCCUUGUACACACCGCCCGUCAAGUCACGAAAGUCGGUAACACCCGAAGCCGG
rnacentral:rRNA from 1 species